GACGAACGCUGGAGGCGUGCUUAACACAUGCAAGUCGAACGAUGAAAUGGAGCUUGCUCCAUGGAUUAGUGGCGAACGGGUGAGUAACACGUGAAUAACCUGCCCUUAAUUUUGGAAUAACCCAGGGAAACCUGGGCUAAUACCGGAUAAGUAAACCUGUGGCAUCACAUGGUUUUGGAAAGUUUUUCGAUUAAGGAUGGAUUCGCGGCCUAUCAGCUUGUUGGUGAGGUAACGGCUCACCAAGGCGACGACGGGUAGCCGGCCUGAGAGGGUGAACGGCCACACUGGGACUGAGACACGGCCCAGACUCAUACGGGAGGCAGCAGUGGGGAAUAUUGCGCAAUGGACGAAAGUCUGACGCAGCGACGUCUCGUGAGGGACGAAGGUCUUCGGAUUGUAAACCUCUUUCAGCAGGGACGAAGCGAAAGUGACGGUACCUGCAGAAGAAGCACCGGCUAACUAUGUGCCAGCCGCCGCCGUAA
rnacentral:rRNA from 1 species